AUUGAGGAGCAUUUACUCAGUGAGUGCAAGAGGUUUGUUUGAAACAGACCGCAAUGGAGAGAUCAGCGCCCAGGGAAGCGAGGGAACAGCAGGCUCCUUCCAGCAGCACAUCGGGAUGGGAACCUGGGACACAGAGGGGGCUCCGAGACCGGGAUUGAUUCGGGGCAAAUGUGUUGGACCAAGAUAAUGUAAUAUUUCCUCAGUACAAAGCCAAAUAUGACCAUCUCUUUCUACCAACCAGCAGACAAAUACUUGAAGGACCACAACACAUUCCCUCGGGGCAAAGCCAAGUGUGAUCAGUUCCUUCUAACAAACAGCAGGUGGUAUCUCUCUGUCUUCCUCCAGACAAAUACCUGAGGGACUAAGACGCUGUAAUACUUCCUCAGUUCAAAGCGAAGUGUGACCGACUGCCUCGAGCAAACAGCAGGCAAGUACUCAAAAGGACCAGGACAAUGUAAUAUUCCCUCGGUACUGAGCCAAGUGUGACCAGUUGCUUCCAACAAACAGCCGGCAAGUACUCAAAGGACCAAGACAAUGUAAUAUUCCCUCGGUGCAGAGCCAAGUGUGACCAGCUGCUUCGAACAAACAGCAGAUAUGUUACUGCUGUCGGAGUGAAGAAUAUCCUUUCCACAGUCACAGAGUGGAUUGAGUCAGGUUCACAUUGAGGCUGUUUCCAGAGAGAUAUGUUCAAAAAAAAAGUCAAACACCACCAAGGAAAAGGAAGUUUUUUUUUAAUCUAUAUUCUCAAUGCAUGCAACCCAGUUCCAAUCAAUUUGAAUGAAUCCUCAUCAAAAAUAUACACUGCAUUAAAGCUGAACAUGGAACGGUACAGAACAAGAAUGGAUCCUUCAGCACACGAUGUUGUGCUGAACAUGACGCCGAAUGAAUCUGAAUCCCUUCUGCCUGCCCAUGGUCCAUAUCCCCCCUUUACUUGCAUGUUAAUUUGCUUAUUUUAAAGUCCCUUCAAUACUUUUUAUCGUAUCUGCCUCCGUCACCACCCCUGGCAGUGCAUUCCACUCCUACUACUCUCUACGUUAAAAGAGGUCCUUAGGUCUCCUUUGAACUUUUCCCAUCUCACCUUAUAUGCAUACCUCUUUGUUUUAGACAUUUCAACUCUUGGAAAAAGACUCUGACCAUCAACCGUAAACAUGCAUCUCCAAAUUUUAUAGACUUCUGGAUGUAGGUUUGCUCACUGUGAUGGAAAGUUUACCUAGUUUUGUAGGUAAUCAUCAGUCAGACUCCGGAUGAAGCACUGGUGGUAUGGCCCGCUUCCUGUUUAUAGGUUUAGGUUUCCUUGGGUUGGUGAUGACAUUUCCUGUGGUGAUGUCAUUUAGUGUUCAUUUUCUCCAGGGUGGUAAAUGGGAUCCAAGUCAAUCUGUUUGUUGAUGGAGUUCUGGUAGAAAUACCAUGCUUCUUGGAAUUCUCAUGCGUCUUGGUUUGACUUGUCCUAGGAUGGAUGUGUUGUCCCAGUUGAAAUGGUGUCCUUCCUCAUCUGUAUGUAAGGAUACUAGUAAGAGUGGGUCAUGUCUUUUUGUGGCUAGUUGUUAAUUUAUCCCGGUGGCUAGUUUUCUGCCUGUAGCGGACACAUAAAUACAAAAUGGGCCAUACCAUCAGUGCUUCAUCUAGAAGCUCUCUGAUAAUGGUACCUAGUAUGGUGACAAAACAUCUGAAAAUGAACCUUCCAACUCAGCAAGAAAACCUAGAUCCAGAACCUCAACCUGAGGUACAACUCUUACAAUUUUAUAGACUUCUAUUAAGUCUGCCCUCACCCUCUGCUGGGUUUUUCUAGCUUCUCUUUGUAGCUCAUACCCGCUAGACAACAUUCUAGCAAACCUCUUCUGUGCCCUCUCUAAAUCCUCCAUAUCCUUCCUGUAAUGUGCCAACCACAACUGAAAAAUCACUCCACACCAGAUUGUAGUCCAGAAGGUUAAUUUGGAAGUACUAUCUUUCAGAGUGCUGCUCCUUCAUCAGGUGGCUGUGAAACAGGAUCCUGAGACACAACUUAUCGCAAAAGAUUAGUGUCAUGCAACUGAAAUGAUAUAUUGAACAAACCUAGAUUGCUGUUCAGUGUUUCAUCUUUUAGAAUAGGUUGCAGGUUUCAGCUCAUUAAUAUAUACAUCCCAGAACCUCUUUUAAGUCACAUUCUCAAGAUGACUUUGGGUUUUAUUUAAAAAGAAGGGUGACAUCUCAACUCAGACAAUGUAUUAAAGGUGUGAGGUUAGAGUCUGUAUCCCAAUCUUGAGUCAGACUGGUCUUAUUACCAAAGUAGGAAUAUAUAAAACAUUACAUGGAUUGACUGCCUGCAGAUUGUGCUCUUUUUGAGCAAAAUACAAUGUAUCUGCAAAUAUAAUUCUGCAAAUGCAAAUUCACCCCAGAGACAUGUGUGUGUGUGUGCAUAUGAGAGAGAGAGCAUUUGAGUGUGAGUACACAUGCAAAUGUGUGUGUGGAUCAGAAACAAGUAGCUAACAAUUUUAAUCCUGAUCAGUCAGUAUCCAUUUGCAUAAAUGGAUCAUGGUAGCAGAGGAGCUACCAUCC